AGCAUGUGGUUUAAUUCGAAGCAACGCGAAGAACCUUUACCAGGUCUUGACAUCCCGAUGCUAUUUCUAGAGAUAGAAAGUUACUUCGGUACAUCGGUGACAGGUGGUGCAUGGUUGUCGUCAGCUCGUGUCGUGAGAUGUUGGGUUAAGUCCCGCAACGAGCGCAACCCCUAUUGUUAGUUGCCAUCAUUCAGUUGGGCACUCUAGCGAGACUGCCGGUAAUAAACCGGAGGAAGGUGGGAUGACGUCAAAUCAUCAUGCCCCUUAUGACCUGGGCUACACACGUGCUACAAUGGUUGGUACAGCGAGUUGCGAGUCGGUGACGGCGAGCUAAUCUCUUAAAGCCAAUCUCAGUUCGGAUUGUAGGCUGCAACUCGCCUACAUGAAGUCGGAAUCGCUAGUAAUCGCGGAUCAGCACGCCGCGGUGAAUACGUUCCCGGGCCUU
rnacentral:rRNA from 1 species